rnacentral:lncRNA from 1 species
AUGCCCAUCAGUAUGGAAACAUAUGUAUGCAGAGCACUCAGGGCAGAGCCUGUGCACAGCAAAGGCUCAUUCAUACCGGUUAUUAGUAUUAUUACCAUCAUCAUCCUCUUUUUCUACCGGAUCACCCUUCCUGGGUUUUGUUAUACGUCAGUGUCUAUUCUCCCUCCUGAUGGUAACAGCAUCCCAACAGUGUUUUGGAGAAUCACUCCUCUGCUAUUAGAUGUAUGAAGUAGUGGUACCUGUCUUCCUCUGGCUAACAGCUUAUCAGAAAAAUAAUUGAGUUGAGAGUAAUUGGGUUUACAUCAUGGAUUGAACUUUGGAAACUUCACUGACCAUUUAAUUUAAACGUAAGUAGACAUACAGCAAACUACAGUUUCUGUAAAUAUUUGAUUAUAUAUGUGGUUUGGAUGUCACUUGCAACCCUUUCUUAUUGGAACUCAAGGAAUUGGCAGGUAAAAGGAUGGGGUAUAUGACUGAAAAUAUUGGGGGAAACUUCUGCCAACUUUCUUGUCAGCGUCAGUCCUUGCCAAAUUGCCGAUAAAGAGAAAUGUGUCCUCGGCACUUCCUAAAUAUUGGUGUCCUUUUCUCCUUUCAGGAUGAAUUCUUCCAGAUUCUUAUAGUCAGCUCAGUAGCAGAAGGGUUUUUUUCAGGAAAGUGUUGAUAUCAGUUGAUAUUAGUUUUUUUUACUUUGGUGUGAAUUUAUAUCUCUCAGAACUCCUGCGCUUUAACAGGAGUCCAGAAAUAAAAGAUCAUCAUUAAAUGAAGGAAAUUCAAGAGUAAAUGACUCUAUGAGGGAGACAUUUUGGACACAUGGGUCCAUUCCAAACAAAACAAGUGAGUUCUUUACACAUGCAUAAGAUUACCCUCCCCAGACCACUCAUUGAUGGGUUAAUUGGUAUAAUGGGCUUAAUUUUCCUUCUGUUUGAAGUGAAGCCAACUCUUGGGAUCACCAAGACUAUUUGUAUCUUCUUUCAAGUGGUGUUUGAUGAGGGCUAUUCAAUGAAAAACAUUUCUGAGUUAGCAUAGAAUAUAUGAUUUGUCAUAGAUUUAAGAAUAGGGUCAGAGAUGUGUUACCAGAAUGACUUCAAGGAAGAUAUGAUUGAUUGCAAUUAGAAAACAAACCACAUACCAAGCUCUCAAUCAUCAGAAAUCUCAUAGAAAAGGAAACUCUAUUCAUAGGACAUAAUUACAUAUGGGACUCACACACCUGUUCCAUUUAUAGAAUCCUUUGUCCUCUAAAGAAUGAUAGGAGUGAUAUAGAUAGUAUAUAUAUAUAUAUUUUUUUUUCCCCAGGUAGAAUAUAAUGGAAAAUAGUAGCACUCUAGUUUGUCUGGACUUCUCAUCAAAUGAUUCUGUACAAAGCAGUUCUAAUGUUAUUCAGUUGCACAGAAACUCUCUUGUGCUACUUCAUAUACUAAGAAGCUGUAUGCCUUAUUAAUUUGUAUCCUCAGUGCCAUGCAGACUGCCCAGAACUUAGGUGAUCCCCUAAUGUCUCUUGAAGGCUGAAUGAAAGUAUGAAUGUUGAAAAGAGUCAACCAAAAUGUGUAUAAAUAGUAAGAAAAUUAACAUGAGGAAAAAAGAAGAGGGGACUAAGGAAAUAAAGCAAAUUAUACCUACCUUAAAAUCUAAUCUAUCUACAUCAUUAUCUGAAGUCUUUAAGGUGGAAAAUCUCAAAGUUCUCAAAUAUAUCAGUGUCUUAGGAUGAAUUCUGGGUGAGGAUUAUUCACGAGUAAUUAGAUUUUCAGUAGUCAGAUUCUCUCCUUUUUUUUUUUUUAUAUACAGUUUAUUAACUUCUCUCAAGCAGAGAUCCACCAAGUAUGCAAUUUUCACUUUGAGUUUUCUUAGUGUGGUGCUGACGUUGUAGGACAAGUCCACAGACAUAGAAACUAACACAGUUUCUACUUUGGGAUGCCUACACUAUUUGGAAAAACAGGAGCAACACAGGUAAGAGUAGAAAACACCAGAAGGAAAAGGGUAUACGAUGGAGAAGGGCAUUUUUGGAUAGCCUUACCUUCUGUUUCCAAUGGCCUUUCUGGAAAGUCAGAUCCCUGGCAACACUAACUGAAUUUGAGGUGUUAGAACUCAUUAGGGUGGUAGGGUUGUGGGACCAGAAGCCACGCUGACUUGACUUGCCACACUGGCUGUCACACUUAAACUCUCUGGUGAAGUUACCUCUCCUUUGUCAUUAUAGUAUUUUAUACCUGUUUUUAUUUGAGGUUCAUAAUAAGAGACUGUCACCAAAGGGACACUUGGCUUUAUCACAUUAAGAAGGCACACACCAGCAAAGAUGACUGUGAGACUACAGUUUUCUUCUGUACCAGCAAAAUCAGGGCCAUUGAAAUAGAUAACCUGUCAAGAUACAGUGUGACAAAUAGAUGCAAUAAGUAAUAUGUAAGUUGCUUUCCUCCUUACUGAUAGGGUUUCCUGAAUCUCCUUUAGUUUGGAUCCAUUAUCCUCUCUCUUUCUCUUUCUCUCUCCAACAUUUAUAUUAUAUAAAAUUUCAUAGAAAAUGUUGUUUUCUAAAUUUGUGUUCUAAAUGUAAAUCGCUUUAGAGCCAAUCGAACCUCCUAAUCAUUUGCUAUGAAAUAACUUUUUAUAUCUUAUUUUAUGAAUUUUUAUACCAUUUUCCUGAGGUUUUUAUUUAUCUAAGUAGUAGGAAUACCACAGUGCUGAGUGAAUAAUAUAUAACUGAAACACUAUGCCAAAUAUCCGAAUAAACACAAAAUAAGCCCUGAGUUUAUAACAAAUAGGUACAAGUUGCCCCCAGUUAGAUUCCUCCUUUCUGUUGCACAGUGUCCUCAGCCUUGUAAAGCUCCAGCUAUUAAAUUAAUGGUUUGAACCCUGGAACUUCAGGAUCCUGUGACACACAUUUUGGAGAGGUCCUUGACAGUUAACAGAAUUGUAAAUUUCUGAGAGAUUAUUUGUCCAUGAUCAGAGUCAACAUUCUAUACCAGCUGCUAGAUUUAGCUUCUUCUACUUUAAGAGAGUGGACCUGCAAGUGUUAUCUUCUGGAUAUUUAGCCAGGAAUUAUUUCUGUAUCAGUCAGAAAACCAGCAUGUGUUUCUUAACCACCAACUCUUCCUUCUCUCACCUGCAUCUUCAUUUGGUGUGAUGGUGGAAGCCACAGAAGAGCUUGUCAGCUUUCUGUUGCUUAUAACCUUGCCAUGUUCUUCAGCUAAGACCUAGAUAAUGACAUAAUCUCAGAACAAUUAAUAGAAAACCAACUGGCACUUACUGUGUUUGCACUUGGUAUUCAAGGGAGAAAAUGAUUGACAACUGGCGAGUCAAGACUGUGUGGAGAGCCUUGGAUCUAAGCUGUACCUUGAAGGGGCGGCAGAAUUUUGAGAGGCAGAAGGAAGCAGUCAUGAUAAGUGAGGAGAUCAUCAGUGGGAGCGUAACUGGCAAUGAGCAGAAGGCAUAGGGAAGCAGGCUGAAGAAUGUGCUAACUGGAGGAAAAUUGCCUCUUGGAGAUGGUGGAAAAUCAUUGCAGUUGGCAGGGUGGUGUCUGAUUAUGGAGCAUUGGAGUCCAAGUUGGAGAACUCAGGAUUGAUGGGGCAGUGGAGAGGAGACACUAAAGAUUAUAAGUAGAGAGGUAACAUGAUAGAAGUUGUGUAAGAAGAAACCCAGAGUGGCAGAUGGGACAGUGGCUAGAAAUCAAAUAUAAAGCACUGUUAACAGCCAAGGUUCUGUGUGUAAUAAAUAACCAAUACGCCACGCUGUGCACCAACCUUGUCCUUUGGUUUCACGAUGAUUUAUUUGUUAUACCACCACCCUCAUUAUCUAAAACAGAACACUACAAUUUCAUAUACCAUCUGUGAGCUCCAAAUGGUCAUAAUUAACAAUCACAAAUGUUCUGAAAAGGUGAUGUGCUAAAAAUAGCCUUAUCCGGCUUGUCAGCAGGCUGCUUCUGUGAGUACCAUGACAUUCAAUGGAAGAAUGACUGUAUUUUCUUAUGCCUUCCCGUGAUUAUAUUUCUCAUACAGAUUAUGAAACUAUGGAAACAUGCUUCUCUAAUUAAACAUCUUGAGGUUUAGUAAUUUGACUACUGGUCAGUUAGGGGCAGAAACAUCAAGACUAUACCUAAAGUAAGUUUCUUUCAGAUGAGAUCUGCUACUGUAUUACCUAGAACGUGAUUAGCAUCUUCCAAAAUGCCUACUGAAUGUAGGAAAAAUGUCAGCCAUUCGCACUUGUUUGUGGCAAAUGUAAAGAGCUGUUGUGUUAUUUUGUCUCCAAAGAUUCCCAUUCUUCUUGAAUCCUAAGGAAAACUUAAUAGAGAGAUCAUAGUUUGGUGCUGAAGGAGAGUGACCCUGCCUCUAGAAUGUGCACUGGGAAUUUCUAGAGAAACUUGAUGGUCUCAGCAAAGUCAGGAUUGAGAAUUUGGAGUUUAAUUUUCACCACUGAAAAUGACCAGCUUUGUUAUGCAUAUUUAGACUAUCUAAACUGUUGCAGCUAACUAGAAAAGCAAUGAGCCAAAAAGUGUAUAGAAUUUCAUCAAAUUAAAGGUGCCACUGAUUAUAAGAUGCACCAUUAUCUUAUAUUCUACUUAGAAAGAUAAAACAUUUCAAAUUAAACUAUGGCUUCUUUCUGAUUAUUUCUUUUCUUUUUAUUUUGUCUUUUUUAAUUUUUAUUUUUUUAUAGAAUAAAGUACAUACAUUUACACACAAUUACAUUCACACAGAUUAUUAUAACAUGGAUCUUAAGAAACAGAUUAAGUGACUCCCACUGGAGAAGUGGAAUGGAAAAUAUGCUGAGACAAAUAGGAAAUUUAUUCUAUACUUUAUCCCAAUUUUAUGGCUUUCAUCUUUACUACUUAGUUUUAUCUAUUACAUUUCAAUUUUUCUUUAAAAAUUAGCAUUAUAUUAAAUUGUUAUUUUAUGCAACUAAAGUUA